rnacentral:lncRNA from 1 species
GUUUAUUGACUUUGAAUGUGUUGUCAUUUUGAUUUUCUCAAUUGCCUUUUACUAUGAAAAUUACAUGAAGGUGAGACAAUUUAUAUCUGUGUAUAUGGUGUAUUUCUAUAUAAGUGUAUUUUAUCAUUGAUAGUUUUCAAGAUAAUAGGCAAAAUACCAAAUGCCAAAAGAGUGAGAAAAAAAAAUAGUAAUUUUUUAAGUCUUUAGAUAAGAUAAUUAUCUGUCAAAAACAAAAAAAA